rnacentral:autocatalytically_spliced_intron from 1 species
GAAGAUAUAGUCCAAUCCUGCAGGCGACUGCA